CCUACGGAGGGCAGCAGUGAGGAAUAUUGGUCAAUGGACGCAAGUCUGAACCAGCCAUGCCGCGUGCAGGAUGACGGCGCUAUGAGUUGUAAACUGCUUUUGUACGAGGGUAAACCCCGAUACGUGUAGCGGGUUGAAAGUAUCGUACGAAUAAGGAUCGGCUAACUCCGUGCCAGCAGCCGCGGUAAUACGGAGGAUCCGAGCGUUAUGCGGAUUUAUUGGGUUUAAAGGGUGCGUAGGCGGUUUGAUAAGGUAGAGGUGAAAUGUCGGGGCUCAACCCCGAAACGGCCUCUCAUACGGUUGGACUCGCGCAUAGUUGCGGUAGGCGGAAUGUCUGGUGUAGCG
rnacentral:rRNA from 1 species